rnacentral:lncRNA from 1 species
CUGCAGAAGAAGAAAUCCAGAUCUUUAGAGAUAGCUGUUUGGUGUAUUUUGAGUUAUGAAUGAUAUGUCCCAUAUGAAGAUUUAAAGAAUGCUACCUUUAAAUGUCUUUUUAAAUGUCUAGAAAAUGUGCUGAUAAGGAGGGCUUCAACAUCCUUACAAAGUUCUUUGGUGUCUGUUCUUCAUAGGCCUGGGAUGAUGAUGGCAGUGGCUGUCAUUGACCUUCAGCUUUCUUAUUUCAAUGGAUUUAAUUCUAAUCCUGAGGUGGCAGAUGCAGUGACUGGGUGGACAUAGGAUGAGACUGACAAUUACAGCAUUUUUAUCUUCAGGGAUAAUUAUUAACAGCUUUUGAAGUCCACCAUUUCUCCGCAUCUGAAAAUCAAAGUACUUUUUCUGUUACAUUUUAAUCUGACAUGAAUGAGCAACUUCCUGCUGUUUUAGGACAGGUCCUCAAUAGUACUUUUAAAGCCUUAGGAGCUUUCAAUAUCAUCAGCAUUCUCAUCAUUUUGGGAGACAAAUUGAUAUCUCCCUUAGAAAUGACCAAAUUGAGUGCCAUCUGUUACAAUGAAGGGCUACUUCAAGGAGAACUUUCAUUGAAUGCUCUGCCCUCAAAAACCAUCACUGACAUGCAGCAGAAUUUUUUUUUGGCAAAUUAUAUAAGCAGAAAGUGAUUGUAAAUCAAACUAGAAGAAAGUAUAACAGAUAUUCCUGGAAACCGAAGAAUAUUUUAAUCAUCAAAUAAUGAAACAGAGGCAUCUAGAGUAAAGCCCUCUCGGAAAUAAUUAAUAGCACGUGGGCAAUGAUUUUUUAAAUGCUUUUUUAUUUAUUUCAUUGACAUUAGUUCUUAUAUUUGACAUCUUCUGUGUGACUAAUUCUACAGUAGAUUAUCAUCCUUUAAAAUGCAAAUAAUUUUUAAGUAAGCUAACGGUAUAAUAAGAUGUACACUAACAAUCCUUAAUUAAUAAACAUAAUCUUAAAAGUUUCAUUUAAACUUGUUAAACAUUUAAAAUAAACACUGUCUAGCACCUUUUCCUGCUACAUAUGGAGAAUCCUAUACGUAACUUUACUUUUAAAAAUUAUUUAUAUCUGAAAGAGAAAAGUAGUAUACUAAUCAGUUUUUCUAGUAAGUAUAUAUGAACUACUUUCAAAGAAAUAAACAAGAACAGAGUUCUAUAAGCACACUAUAGAUCCUGCUUCUUCAAAACUUACUCUGUAGGAUCUUAAUGUUAGUAGUAUUUGACUAGCUAUGACGUGUGGGUAUAUACC